AACGAACGCUGGCGGCAGGCUUAACACAUGCAAGUCGAGCGCCCCGCAAGGGGAGCGGCAGACGGGUGAGUAACGCGUGGGAAUCUACCGUGCCCUACGGAAUAGCUCCGGGAAACUGGAAAUAAUACCGUAUACGCCCUACGGGGGAAAGAUUUAUCGCCUUUAGAGCGGCCCGCGUCUGAUUAGCUAGUUGGUGAGGUAAAGGCUCACCAAGGCGACGAUCAGUAGCUGGUCUGAGAGGAUGAUCAGCCACAUUGGGACUGAGACACGGCCCAAACUCCUACGGGAGGCAGCAGUGGGGAAUCUUGCGCAAUGGGCGAAAGCCUGACGCAGCCAUGCCGCGUGAAUGAUGAAGGUCUUAGGAUUGUAAAAUUCUUUCACCGGGGACGAUAAUGACGGUACCUGUAGAAGAAGCCCCGGCUAACUUCGUGCCAGCAGCCGCCGUAACAC
rnacentral:rRNA from 1 species